UAGCUCAUCUCCGAAGUACUUUCCACUUUUAGUUAGAAUCUUCUUCUCCUCUCUAAGAAACUUCUCACAAUCCACUAUCCCUUCUUCACACUUAAACCAUGCAAAUGCUGCACAAAACACACCAAACCAAAUGAAAAACAAAAGAAGUGGUUCUACAAUCAUUUCUACUUUUGUUUUU
rnacentral:sRNA from 1 species